GUCGAUCUGGAAGAAAAAGGAAACGUUAGUUUUCCACUUCCAUGCGGAGGGGAAGAGGAAGAAAGCUUCCUCCAUUGCACUAUUGAGGACCUAAUUUAAGCCAGAAAGAAAGGAAAAUCUGAUGGAAGCCUUUUAAACUAGAUCUACAUAAGGAACAAUUCACCCAGACUCGUUAGGAGAAUCCCAAGAGCCAGAUUUCGCCUCAGCAGUAUUACAACUGGAAAGGAAGAUGCACCAGCCAUAUGUUACUCAGCACAGCUCCCACCCUUUGAUCGCUUUGCACCAUAUACACACAUUAUGCCUUGCAUUGCUUCUUGAAGAUUUUGCACAAGAACUCCCCUCACCACCACCUAAGGGCUUUUUGGACGCUGGAAAUUUCAGCAAGAGAAUGGCCACCAGUAGGAAGGUGAGACUAACCUUUAAAGUAACACUCCAUAGAAAAGAAGUUCUCCUUUAAAAGGUGUCAAGACUACCUUGGUUUCUCUAUUUUCACCUACCCCCUGGCCUUAAAAACCAUCCAGUCCUAACUUCCUUCUUUGUUGAGGGCUACAGCAAGAUCCUGAGGGGAUCUGGAUGGUGACCACACAGUUUGACACUAGAGCUGCAGCUUAAUGGAGGGAGAAGGGUGGAGUUUUAGAAGCAGAAUUUGUCAAAGCCCUGGAAAGAAGUCUGUGUUAUGCAAUGCACUUUUAAAGGAUGAAGGAAAGAUGGUCACCUCCCUGCUGGUGCUCCCCAGAGGCUAUAUUUGCAUUGGCCAAGCUAGGCCCAUACUUCACCACUAGUGCAGUUCCACAAGUGGUAGCAAUGGUGGAAGCUGUAGACAGAGCUGUUUGUAUCACUCAUCUAACCAUGCUCACGCCAUAACUUCCAUUAUUGCUUCAGUUACCAAAGCUGCACUAACGGAGACCCACAGGCCCCAACUUUGCCAGCGCUGGAUCCUUCAUUUAUGAUGCAGGUACUAAUAGAAACUCUGUCACAAGCCAGCUGUCUGUACUGCUAAAUAUUCACCAGCAGGACUAACCCAAAUGCUGCAUUAAUCCAACAGUUUGACUUCAGAUGCAGUUUGUAUAUGGCAGAAAGCACUUCCCACCAUGUGAUUCUGUGAUGCUUACUGCCUGUGGACAGUGACCCACAGAACAUCAAUUCUGCAAGGUUACCAGGUGGUGAUUUUCAAUGGAUCCCCAACGUAGCAGUCAGAUAACUGGGCAACUGACACUAACAGUACCUUUCUUCUGACUCAUGGAAUAUACCUACUGCUUCCAGAGAUCCAUGAAGCAACCAUGAAAGAGAAGAUAAUACAUUUAGGUAGACUAUUACAAAGCGCACACACGGUGUUUAUAAAUGAAAACAACUCUGGGGAGUGACACUUCCUGGAAGUCAGAAGGCAGCCUACACAAUCAAUCAUACUUCCUGUUUUUAUUACCCUUGGCAUCCUGUCAGCUCUGGGACCCCCUCUCAGGGUUCAAGUAGUGCUUCCCCCCCUCCCGGAGGUUACACCUGCCCAGACACCAUCUUUCCUCCUACUGCUGGCAAGGAGCUUUUCAUCUGACACUGUUACAGUGUAAAACUAAGAGUUAAACUAAGUUUGUUCUUGGAGUCUUUAUUCUAAACAUUGAGGCACAGGGAAAUAGCUGGAGCAUGAAUUCCAAAAUCUGAUUAAUUUAGAGCAUUUCUCAUUCAUUGCCUGGUGCAUUUUAGAGAAACUAACUUGAAGUCUUUCAGUUCUCAGGUGAGAAUCUCACCAGCUGGAUGCAUGAGCUCACCAUUGGCUUCAGGCAUUCAAGAUACAGAUGAGUGCUGAGUGAUUUUAUGAGUGUUGAGGUGACAUUAGUAGAUUUGAGGUGUGUUUUGGCAACCAAUCCAAUAGAAUACAAGAAACCUUCAAUCUCUCCCUCCUCUCACACGCACAAGAAUUAAGCUAUUUGCUUUGGCACCUUUGAGAUUUACUGUGCACAGCCUUUGGGUGGUGGCAGACACUAGCAUUCUUGUGGCUGGGUGUGGUUUCCAAGCCUGGAGUGAAGAUAACUGGGUUUUGUUUCAUUCAC